CUCUUCUCUAUUUAUAAGUAUUUUGUAACCAAAUCUAACAGAAUUUGUUAUUAUUAACUGCUUCUCAAUUCUUUUGGGUCCUUCUAGAGCUUGAUAGGAGUCUAUCAUUAUCCGCCGCCCCAAAAUCCACCUUGUUCUCAAGGUGGACAUAUGGUUCAACUUCAAUAUUCAGAACCAAAUUCGGAGUAUGCUUGCUGCGUUUGUUAACCCGUGUAAUCAAUUUACCACUUAGAAAUAGAAUGUUAUCCAUACAAAUCCCAUAAGCAGUUGAACCUGCUGCAGGAAUUUCACUUGUCAUUGCUGGUGGUUGAAGCACUGUAACAACGCUAGAUUUUGGAUGGAUGAUUUGUAGUGAGUGGGUUAAAAUAGUUGGGUGAGUAUAUGGGUAUAAGAAUGGGCCAUUGGAAACUUUGGGCUACUGAAAUUAUUUUUAUUUCCAUUUGAGCUAUAACUCAUUUGGGCCUGCGUUACCAAUUCAUUCUUAUCUUCCAAGUGUUGGGCCAACUCCCUAAUAAAGCCCAAACCCCCAAGCUUUGGCCCUCUUACUUUAACUGAUUUCGGCUCAGUAAUACAAUGGUCUUCCACCGCUUCAGAAAUUGUCGGCAAUGGAGCUGCAAUUCUUUCCGAAACCAACAUUUUCAGCCUACAGUCGCAUGCCCCUGCCUUACCUGAUUCUUCUCGUGGUUUAUGGCUGUUAAUAAUUGCCGCAAUUUCAUCCAGUUUAGGUAGUGUAGCUGCCUGGCCUUUUUCUGCCCCUGCCCGUCCCAUUUUUUCCAUCAUCAAGUCGAGCUUCUCCAUCAUGAUAGACAUAACCUUCUUAAUUUCAGAUUUUAGUGUUUUCAGAUCAUCCCGUACUUCCAAUUGAAUCCCAUCAAUUUUCGUCUCCAAUUUAUCAACUCUAUCUUCAACUUGCUUUUCUUAAUCAAAUGUAAUACCCCAGGGCCAGAGUGGUUGCUCUGAUACCAUUUUGUUAGGCCCCCAUUGUUGCGCUUCAAUUAAUAGAUUCUACUCUAGAGAUUAAGGACCGGUUAAGACACAAUUUAGUAACUGGGGAAUUGAUGUAGUGUAGGUGAGAAAAAAAGUGAAGUAAUAAAC
rnacentral:lncRNA from 1 species